UAUCUCUGUAGAGUCUGCAUAUCAAUAAGCGGAGGAAAAGAAACUAACAAGGAUUCCCUUAGUAACGGACGAGUGAAGCGGGAAGAGCUCAAAUUUGAAAUCUUCAAGGUUUUACCUUGACGAAUUGUAGUUUAAAGAAGUGUUUUCUGUUGAAGUUUUGGUAAAAGUUCUUUGGAAUAGGACAUCAUAGAGGGUGAGAAUCCCGUAUUUGACCAUUAUUUUCAGCUGUGUGAUACACUUUCAAAGAGUCGGAUUGUUUGGGAAUAGCAGUCCAAAAUGGGUGGUAAAUUUCAUCUAAAGCUAAAUAUUGGCGAGAGACCGAUAGCGAACAAGUACCGUGAGGGAAAGAUGAAAAGAACUUUGAAAAGAGAGUUAAACAGUACGUGAAAUUGUCAAAAGGGAAGCGUUUGACACCAGUGUUGUUUUCCUCGAAAAUCAAUUAAAGAAAGUUGGAUUUUGUGUUGUAUUGACCUUAACAGCUUUCUGCACUCUUUUCCUGCUUUUUUUAAUGCACUUUUCGUUUAACAAGUCAACAUCAGUUUCUUUUGUUGUAAAAGGGUCAUUGGAAGGUGGCUUUCUUUUCGGAGAAAGUGUUUAUAGCCUUUGAUCUCUGCAAUCGGAGAGACUGAGGUCUGCAGCGUAGAUCCUUCGGGGUUAGAUACAUUUGUGCUAAGUUAUAACUUUUCAUAGACAACUUGUUGACUAUGUUUAGUCAUGUAGCUUACUCGCUUAUGCUAUUUUACCUACGCUUAGGAUGUUGAUCUGUAGUGCGUGCGC
rnacentral:rRNA from 1 species